AUGGUCCGAGAAGUCCUCUUUAAGAGGACCUUCCGCAAGUUCACUUACCGCGUUGUGGACCUGGACCAGCUGCUGGACUUGUCCUACAAGCAACUUAUGCAACUGUACAGUGCGCUCCAGCAACAGCGGCCGAACCGGGGCCUCGGGCGGAAGCAGCACUCGCCGCUGAGGCGCCUGCGCAAGGCCAAGAAGGCGGUACCGCCCAUGGAGAAGCCGGAAGUGGUGAAGACGCACCUGCAGUACAUGAUCAUCCUGCCCGAGAUGGUGGGCAGCAUGGUGGGCGUCUACAACGGUAAGACCUUCAACCAGGUGGAGAUCAAGCCAGAGAUGAUGGGCCACUACCUGGGCGAGUUCUCCAUCCCCUACAACCCUGUGAAGCACGGCCGGCCCUGCAUCGGUGCAACUCCUGCUUCAUCCCCCUCAAAUAGUGGCUCAGCUAAUAAAGGCACAUAUAUCUCAAAAAAACAAAACAAAACAAAACAAAACUUCUGA